GACGAACGCUGGCGGCGUGCUUAACACAUGCAAGUCGAACGGUAAGGCCCUUCGGGGUACACGAGUGGCGAACGGGUGAGUAACACGUGGGUGAUCUACCCUGCACUUCGGGAUAAGCCUGGAAACUGGGUCUAAUACCGGAUAGGACCACUGCCGGCAUGGUUGGUGGUGGUAAGCUUUUGCGGUGUGGGAUGGGCCCGCGGCCGAGCAGCUUGUUGGUGGGGUGAUGGCCUACCAAGGCGACGACGGGUAGCCGGCCUGAGAGGGUGACCGGCCACACUGGGACUGAGAUACGGCCCAGACUCCUACGGGAGGCAGCAGUGGGGAAUAUUGCACAAUGGGCGCAAGCCGGAUGCAGCGACGCCGCGUGAGGGAUGACGGCCUUCGGGUUGUAAACCUCUUUCAGCGCCGACGAAGCGCAAGUGACGGUAGGUGCAGAAGAAGGACCGGCCAACUACGUGCCAGCCGCCGCAGUAA
rnacentral:rRNA from 1 species